GGCUGUAGCUCAGUGGUAGAGCACCUGCCUCACAUGUUUGAGGCACUGGGUUCGAGCCACAGCACCA
rnacentral:tRNA from 1 species